rnacentral:lncRNA from 1 species
UUUUUUUUUUUUUCCUUCUUCUUUUUAGGGCCACACUGGCGGCAUUCAGAGGUUUGCAGGCUAGGGGUCAAAUCGGAGCCACAGCAGCUCCCCUGUGCCACAGCCACACCAGAUUUGAGCCGCAUCUGUGAUCUAUGUCUAUCUCACAGCAACACCAGAUCCCCAACCCACUGAGCGAGGCCAGGGAUCGAACCCGCAUCUUCAUAGACACUGGUCAGAUUCGUUUCCGCUGCGCCACAGCGGGAACUCCAGUCCAGUCCUGUUUUUCGUCAUGGAUGUCUGAGUCCUCUGGUCGCAAGGGGACUGGAUGAAGUCUGUCGCAUCUGGGAAGGGCUGCAUCCGGUGAGAGCCAGGUCGUUUCAAGGGCGCUUCAUCCAGUCGAAGACUGCUGUGCUGAGAGUCUAGUACGGCCUCCACAGAGGGGGAAACAGACAGUGAGAAGGCGCUUGCUGACUGUGUCUUGUGUGGUCGGACAUGGCAGCGCUGCACAGCCGGUGCAAGGCGCCAUAAGCCCUUUCUCGACAGAAACUCCUUCUGUGGCCUCUUUUUAAAAAUUUUUUUAAAAUUACUCAAAUGAAUUUAUCACCUCUGUAGUUGUAUGAUGAUCAUAACAAUCCGAUUUCAUAGGAUUUCCAUCCCACGGCCCAAGCACAUCCCCCCACCCCCCAAACUGUCUCCUCCGGAGACCAUAAGUUUUUCAAUGUCUGUGAGUCAGCAUCUGUUCUGCAAAGAAGUUCAGUCUGUCCUGUUUUCAGAUUCCACAGGUCAGUGAAAGCAUUGGAUGUUCGUGUCUCACUGUAUGGCUGACUUCACUUAGCAUGGUAAUUUCUAGGUCCAUCUGUGUUGCUAAAAAUGUGGGUAUUUCGUUCCUUUUAAUGGCUGAGUCAUAUUCCAUCGUGUAUAUGGACCACAUCGUCUGGAUCCACUCCUCUGUCGAUGGACAUUAAAAAUAUGGAGCGCUUCACGGAUUUGCGUGUCAUCUGUGCGCAGGGGCCAAGCUAAUCUUCUCUGCAUCGUUCCGGUUUUAGUGUAUGUGCUGCCGAAGCGAGCACUGUGGCCUCUUGAUACAAACUCCUUCUGUGGCCUCCUGCCCUAAGGGUAUUGACGGCUGCUGGGGUAGGGGCUUAUUCCCAUCUGCAGUGGCUUUAACGGGGGCAGAGUGUAGCUUCCAGUGUCAGUAGAAUCACAUGCCCAUAAUUCUUUAGGUACGAAGCCUAGCAAUUCGUCUUGUUCAGUGUCUUUCUCGUCAGAGUAUGUGAUGGAGGGAGUUCCCAUUGUGGUGCCGAAGAAACGAAUCUGACUAGAAUCCGUGAGGACGUGGAUCCUUAACCCACUGAGUGAGGCCAGGGAUCGAACCCACAACCUCGUGGUUCCUAGUCGGACUCGUUUCUGCUGCGCCAUCACAGCAACUCCCGAUUUGACUUCUGAUUGUUUCUUCUUGUGUAAUCAUUUCUGCCUCUCCCAGGGUGUCAGAGAGGAGAAGGGGAGAGACUCCCCAUGUUCCCUCAGAGCAGCCCUGUUCCUAUUUAACUCGAAAUUCCGGCCUAAAAUCCAGUUUUCCUUUUAGGUUUCUCCUUCAUAACUUACAGUUCAGUUUCUGAUACCCUGGUUUUCUGCAGUAAAAAGCAGACUUUAGGUUUCUCUACCAGUUGUGGAGUGAACCGGGUAGGGUGGCAGUUAAUCUUGGACUGGCACUGAGUGCUUAAUUGGUGCAGUUGAAGGUUCAUAAUAUUUUUUUCUUUUUUGCUUUUAAGGGCCGCACCCUCGGCAUGUGGAGAUUCCCAGGCUAGGAGGUGAAUCGGAGCUUCGGCUGCUGGCCUGCGCCACAGCCACAGCAACGCAGGAUCUGAGCCACCUCUGCGACCUGCACCACAGCUCAGAGCAACAGCGGAUCCAUGAUCCACCGAGCGAGGCCAGGGGUUGAACCCUCAUCCUCAUGGACACUAAUCAGAUUCAUUUCUGCUGCACCACAGCAGGAACUCCUGAAGUUUCGUAAGUUUUGUAGAUGUCCCUUUUUCGUUCUUUUUAAUGGUUUUGAAAAGUUGGUCAGCCAGUGUAACAGGGGUUUGUGUGUAACAUGGACCAACCUAGAUUGUCUUUUGACUGGAGUAGCGAAACCCUCAUCUGAGCCUUCUAAGGAGUCGGAGUUCAGGAAAGGACCGUCUUGGUGGUUAGAGAAUGAUUCAGGAGGAAUUUCCUUUGUGGCUCAGUGGUUAACGAACCCGACUAGGAUUCGUCAACUAGCUGUGGCAAUGCCAGAUCCUUAAUCCAUGGUGCUAUAUAGCAGGAAUGCCACUAAUAGCUGUAUUAACUGACACAGAUCUGAAAACCUGGGCUUGUACAAACAGACGGUUAACUCAGAUUCCUUAGCAGAUCCCAGUGGAUCCUAACUUUGAUCAGGCAACUCCUUAUCUAAGGCCCUGAGUUCUGCUUGGGCAGAGUUCAGCCCUGUCUGCAAUAGGUUUCUCCUCGGAGGGAGCUGUAAUCACUUCUGAUUUUUUUUAUCCUUCUUUACUGGGGAAGAGGGAGCAGGAGGUGGAAGAGUCAGAAGAGAAAAAGAGGUAGUGUCCAUGCCAGGCAGCUGAGGUGGCAGAGGAGGUGCCGAGGGAAGGCAGUGCCAGCGCAGCGGCUCUUUCACGUUCUGACAGUUUCAGCAGUUGCUUGUUGUUUCCUGCAAAGAAGGUGCUCUAUCAGUUCCUCUUUUAGAGGUGUCUAAAUCCCAAUUAAAGUAAGAAUUGCAUUUGGUCUGUUUGAUCUUUUGGCCAGCUUUUUCUGUUUGUGCAGAAAUAUCAAUUUUGGGAUAUCCAGAGAACCCCAAUUUGGCCAUUUUAAGUGGAGAUCUCUUCAUAUAAUUAGGUAGGUGCUUGGAAAUAGGCGCGCCUGAAGUAGCGUACAUGAAUCUGGCUGGGGUGUGUGUUGGAGGUUAGUUUUGUGAUCCUCCUGUGUGUUUGAGAGACUCUCUUUCCUGUUUUAAGCUGACUCUACUGGGGGUAAACAUUUGCUAAUGAAACUGUGGUGAGCAGCGUGUUGCUUGUGGGCUCCACUCCGGGUGUCAGCCUCGUCGUCCGCCCUCUCACGUGGCUCGGUUUCUCCCUUGGGUGAUCUGAGAUCACUGUGGGUGCUCAGAUUACUGACGGAUCAGUUCUUAGGAGUGACCCCCUGGAUGAGCAAGUCCUUCUCUGAUGAGUGGGUUUCCCUUGGAGACACUGCAGGGUAUGAGUCCUCUGCCUCCACCAUUCCUGUAAUUUCGAGGUUGCCUGCGAAAGCUGUAACUGACCAGGAGGGUCUUGUUCUUUUUCUUGGGAGCAGAAGCUCUCAUGUGCUGUCUUCACUUUUAUCCCAACAGAUUCUAUUCAGGCAGCCAAAUUGAGGCAAAGCAUCAGAUCAGUCUCUUACCUGACCCCUCAGCCCAGGCCAAUCAGCCUCCUUCAACUGAGCAAACCCUGGUCCCCCUCAGCCAGCCGCCACCCCAGCGCCUUUUGACUGUGUGGGCAUUACCCAUCAGCAUCUUCCAGCCAGCUUCCCCCGCCCCAAUGUCUGUUACCUCUGUGGGUAUUUUCCUGGUGUCUUUCAACUAGGCCCCCUGCCCGGUACCUUUUAACUGGGACACUAGGUGCCUGGUAAACUCGGGAUCAUAAACCAACACAGGAAAUCUGAGAAACAAGAAGGACACACCCAAAUUUGUUUCGACCCCCCAGUGAGGUGGGAAGGUGCAAGGGGCUCCUGCUGUUACCCAGGCUCUGAUUCCUUGUAAAGUUCAGGCGAAGGAGAGACGUCUGCCAUGGGCCCCUUCGAGGUCGUCAAAACUGCCACCUGAAAAAGGCGCAGCGUGAGAGCCGUGAGUUAAGUUUUAUUUGGGGCAAAAUGAGGACUAAAGCCCGAGAGACAGCCAUUCUGAUGGCUCUGAGAAAAUGCCCCAGAGAGUUCAGGGGUGGGGUGAAUACACGGAGGAUUCUGGUGAGGGUGCGUGCGGUCAGGCACCCAUUUUGGCAGGGGCUUGCUGCUGGUCUCGGGAAAGUCGCUGUUGGUCACAGGGAGCAGAUGCUACCAUUGGGCAUUUCACUGCUUUUCCAGACAAGGAGAUGCAAGCACUGGGGCCACGAAGUCUUCUCGUGGAAGCAUCCGACGCUCUGAAGACCCCUUCGGCCGGUUUUCUCCGGCGCAGAGGCCUCACUCCUGACCUCACCCCCACCUCCUUUUAGGUGAGUUGAAGCUUAGCCGCUUCAGCAGCACAUGACUUUAUCGCUGUAGAGGUAGGUGGCGAGCGUCAGAACUGGAGCGGACAACCUUCAGCCCAGGCCACUAAAACGUUCUGCAUGUCAGCAGUGAGGCUGUUUCAUGUUCUUAUCGUUUGUGCGUUCAUUGGAGCAGCACUUUCAUUUUUAAUUUAUUAUUAUUAUUUUUUGGCUGCCCAGAGGCCUGUGGAGUUCCUGGGUCAGGGAUCAGAUCUGAGCCGCAGUUGAGACCUACGCUGAACGUGUGGCAACUCUGGAUCCUUUAAGCCAACGUGCUGGGCCGGGGUCCACCCCGCGUCCUGUGCUCCAGGGCCGCCGCAGAUCCGGUUGUGCCACAGGGGAAGCUUUUAAUUUCCCUCACAGCUUAGCUGUUUGGUGCAAGAUAACUAGCUUUUGGCCUGUCCUGACUUUCAACAUGAAAUUUAAUCAUUUUUAUUUAGCUUUUGAUUUAAAGAGAGAGAUGUGCAAUUCUUCCUUUUACGUGAACACUUAAGAGGCCGGUGCAGCAUUCUUAAUUGGCCCAACACCAGUAUUGUUUUGUCUCAGGGAAUAGGGAGCCCUGAAGAGAAGCGGGGGCAUGGCUGGUCUCUGGAGCAGUUAGAACUCAUACGGUUUUCUUUGGAGUUCCCGUCGUGGCACAGUGGUUAACGAAUCCGACUAGGAACCAUGAGGUUGCGGGUUCGGUCCCUGCCCUUGCUCAGUGGGUUAACGAUCCGGCGUUGCCGUGAGCUGUGGUGUAGACUGCAGACGCGGCUCGGAUCCCGCGUGGCUGUGGCUCUGGCGUAGGCCGGUGGCAACAGCUCCGAUUCAACCCCUAGCCUGGGAACCUCCAUAUGCCGCGGGAGCGGCCCAAGAAAUAGCAGCAACAACAACAACAACAACAACAACAACAAAAAA